AUGGCGGAAGUAGCGGCGCACGCGCAGGCCGGCGAGGCGCUGGUGCUGGCGGCAAUGCGGGGGCGCGGCGAGGUGGACACGUCGUCGCAGUUCGAGUCCGUGCGCCAGGCCGUCGACCGCUUCGGCGGCGGCGCCGUCUCCCCGUGGCGCCAGCCGCCGUCGCCGCCGCCGCCGCCGCUCCAGCUCCGGCCGGAGGAGGUAGAACUCAUGAAAGUUGAGGAACAAACUGUGAAGGUCGAGAUGGGGCUCUUUGUUAAGGAAAGCGAAACAUUCAAGGUGCUGAAAGAGUUGGAGUCAACAAAGCAGGUUAUUGAUGACUUGAAGUUACAGAUAGAGAAGGCAACAUCAGAGUGUGGAAAUGCAGCAAUAGAUCAUGCUGAUACCAUGAAGAUCCAUCCACUUCCUAAAAUAGAACAGAAAAUGGAUGACCAUACGGGGCCACUGAUCCAGAGCAUAAAUACCAUACAGUCUCCACUAGCCACACUGAUGAAGCUGAAUCAGGCAAAAGCAUUCCUGAGCAUGGACACUGUCAAGAUGUUUAAGUGCCAGAUAGAGGAGGAGAAAGCAUCCCUUGAGAGAACCCGUGAGAGGGUGCAGUUGAAUAUGGAGAAAGCUUCAGCAUUGGAAGCAGAGUUGAGCAAAACUGCCGCGCAGCUACAAGCAGCAAAAGACCCGAAACCUGUGCUGGAACCUUAUGACAUAUGGCUGCAGAUGAAGCAGUUGAAUGCUGAAAAAGACAAGCACAGGAAGAUGGUCGAGGAUUCGAAGCUCGAGAUUGGUGAAUUAACUUCCACAAUUGAGCACACGAGGUCUAAGGCGAAGACUCUUCAGUUCAGGAUUGUCAUGGCCGAAAAGUUGAAGGAAGCCUCAAGGAGGGGGGAAGCUUAUGCCCUCGCGGAGAUGGGAAAACGACGCAACGUGGAGGACCCGGAGAGUGCUACAUGUGACGUCACACUUUCUGUCGAAGAACACUCCAAGCUCCUGCGCGAAGCGGAAGAAGCAGAGGUUGCCUCUAGGAACAGAAUAGACGCGGCAAUGCAGGAGCUCGAUCAGGCAAACCAGGGCAAGGCAGAAGUUUUGGAAAGAGUGGACGAGGCAAUGGCCGCUGUCGAGUCCAGCAGGAAGGUUCUGGAGGAGGCCCUGAAGAGGGAGGAGGCCGCAAACAAAGCUAAGCUCGCAGCCGAAGAUGCGCUCGGGAGGCUGCGGUCUGACCAAAUAAUCCUGAACUGGCGACCGACCGGUAACAUUAACAGCAAUAAUGCUGUGAAGUUCAAGACCUCGGCAACGCCGGUGACACCCCGGAAGGCGGCGGGCACGGGGAUCUACGACGUGAACGGCCUGAGCCUGGUGGCCACCACGCCGAAGAGCACCAAGGCGAUGUCCAUCGGGCAGAUCCUGAGCAUGAAGCUCGACUGUGAGUUCGAAACUGCCACCACCGGGAAGACUGCUGGUAAGACGGCGAGCUCAACGAAGAAGAAGAAGGUGUCGCUGGGGCAGAUGCUGAGCCAGAAGUACGAGAUGUACUCGCCGAUGAGGAUCGACCACGACGGCGCGUCCCGCAAGCAGUUCCACCCCAGGCGGCGCAGGCUGGGGUUCGUGGUGUACGCGCUGCUCCUGGCCAGGCAGAAGCACAGGAAGAAGAGGCAGCAGGCCCGGGCAUCCUCCUGCACCAAGGUCGUGUAG
rnacentral:rRNA from 1 species